rnacentral:lncRNA from 1 species
UGUUAAGUUAUAAUACACUUUUAGAUCAUGCAAGGUUAUUUUUCAAUAUUGAGAAUAAGUAGUAUUAUGUAACCAGUGUUGUCAUAUAAUUAAAUCUAGUUCCCUCUAGGCAACAGUGAAUUACUUGAGUAGAUCUUAAUCAGGCUAGACAUUUUGAACAUCCAAUACUCUACUUUCUCUGCUCUUAAGACUUUUUUGUCGGAUCUCUUCUGAAAAGUUUGAAAAAAUGAAUUUCUGUCAUCCACUCCUGAAAUCUUCCUUGCCCAAAAUAAGCAUCUCUUCAGUUUAGCAGACAUUGAAUGUGGCUAUUAUUGCUGUCAUUUUAUAUGAACAGUACUACAUGAUUGUUAUUAUUUGAAUAAACUCAGAGUAUUCUUCGGUUUUUUAAUUUUGUUAUCAACAGAAUCAGUUAACACCAGUGGCAAGAAAUAUAUAUCUAUUAGGCCUUUUUUUUAAUUACUUGGUUUACGGAUUUAAAAAAUAAAUAAUAUUAGGUCGGUAGCGAGGGGGAAAGAAGGGAAUAUGGAGAUAUUAUUUGACCACUUGAGUAUAUCAUUUAUGCCAGGUGCAGCAUGCCAGCUGAGCAGCCUGUGGCAUUAGCUUUCUCUCUGUUCCACUCUGUUUCAGGGAAUAUUCGAACGGUGCAAUUUGCUAUUUUUUUAUUUUUUCCCCCACUUUCUUCACAUUUUGGGCCAGCAGAUCCAUAAACUAAGUAAUAAAUUUUAAAAAGGCCUUAGGUUAAAUUCUAUACCCGUGUCACAUAGCUUAAAAAAUACAAUGGUUGAAACUUGAAAGAUUGAAUGUUGAGAAUGUGAACAAAUUAGUGUUGUGUGAAGAGGAACCUCACCCUACCUAGGACAAUCUUUGUUGUGGAACAUUAUUGAUUUUCUUUCAUGAGAAAGAGGACAUGUAUGGAAUCUGUAUUGGGCAGGAGUGGAUCAAGGAAAUGUGAUACUACUUUGUGCCUUGAUGACUAUAUAUUUGUAAUUAUAUUGAUGUCAAAGGAGAGCGCACAAUAGUUUUGAAGGCAGAGCACACUGGUUUGAAGGGAGGGCACUGUAAAGUGCCCAAAGUAGAGCACUGUAAUUUGACCAGAUUCCAAGCUUUGUUGUAUUGAGUCGCAUUUAGUUGUAGUUUUUGUGUUAAUAAAAUUGAUUGUGGAGAGAUGUUUGCCUCUGUAACUGCCAACCCACCCUAAAACAUUUUCUGCAGGGAUUAAUGGGAAGUGAUGAUUCGCAAAAGAGUAAAAUCAAAUGGACAGUUCAGUGUACUGACAUAGAUGAAGAGUUAAAAUAUGUGAAUUUAAUUUUUUGAAAAUAUACUUUAUUUUAGAUAUUUGCACUUUGCCUGUAAAUUGCUUGGAUAUACUGGCUCCAAAAGUUUCCUAGAUAAUCCCGAAACCUUUUUAUAUAGGGCAUUGUGUACUUAGUUUAGAAAUAGCUUUCAUGGUAUAUCGUUUCAAUGUUUAUGCUUUCAGAAAUGUCUUUUUGAAGCAAGUUUCAAUAUGAAUAUGGUCAAUAUGAAUAUAUUUGUGUUUUUUCAAUGUUUAUGAUGAUAAAAGUUGUUGUCCGUGUUGUCUGUCAUUGUAUCCAUGAUUAUCCAGACUGUUUCUGAGCAGGAGCAGAAUUUGCCUGUCAUGUCACUGCAUAGGUGACAAGCUUAAGUAGUGAUUUUAAAAGAAAACUAAGAAAAUUUACUCUAACUCAUUCAGACAAGGAUGUAUGGCCCAGCCAUUUAGGUGCCCCAAUUUGCUGUGCAGAGUUGCCUCCCUUGAGCACACCAGAAUCCUAAAGGUUUAUCAGCACCAUACAUGUGCUUGGUCUUAUUGAUGUGUUAAAUAUUUAAAACCUGGAUCACUUUGGGCUAUCAUCCCACAUUAAACUGACACGCGUUAGGGUACCUGGUCACAAACCUAUUACUGACGUUUAUUGAAAUCUUUCUGAAACGAUAUGGAUCAAGAGUUGUUAUUUGUGGGGCUGUUUUGUUUGUUAUAUCAUAAAAAUAAUGUAAGAGCUGUUGUAUCAAAAUGACGGUUCAGAUGAUGGUGUUUUGUUGAAUACAUAAAUGUUACGCUUAUAAUUUUAAAUGUAAGGUUGGAUAGACAUGGUUAAGAUUGUUCACUGUCUACAGUUUGUUGAACACUGCUCUGGGACUUAAAUCCUUAGGGUAUUGGAUUAGAUAUGAAGGUACAUGUUAGCAACUGUUUUCUUGUCGCACUAUCUCUGUCCUAGAACAGAGCCAAAUGCUGGAUUGCAUUUACAUUCCUGCUUGACAACGGUAAAAGAAUCUGAAUCGAAACGUCGCACUCGUGUAAUAGAAGUUGUUAUUCAGAAACAUUGUAUGUCCGAACUUCUAUAAUGCCACUCAAAGAAACAAAUGCUGGAGUUUAAGAAAUAUGUAAAUGCUUCUGCCCACUUCAAGUUCAAAUCCAACAGAAACAAAGCAAAUGGAUCUGUAAAUUUGGCUGCAUAAGGUGUUUUCGACGAGGAUAUAGACAUGAAUCAGAACUUGAGGCUAUACCAUGUUUUUGAUCAUCAUUAGUGUAAAUAAUACAUGGAGAUGGCCUGUAUGAACUUAGAAUAACCCGUCUUCCCAUGUGAUUUGUUUCCACAGUACAGUUGUGGUGGAUCUGGUAACUUGGUUGAGACUGGUCAUGUGUGGCUUGGAACAAUGAUUAUGCUUCCAACCGAGAUUAAUUAUAUUCUACAGUGGUAUAACUCAGCAUAAAACAAUAUGUAUGUCAUCAUGAGGUGAACAUUUUUCCCGAUAUUCUUGUGGUCAUUCAUUUGAUCUGAGCUUCCUUCUGUGCAUUGUGUCCAUGUCUUGAGCUGAUUUGCCAAGGAUUUCAAUAACAUUCAUGACCAAAACAACUCAUAAAGGAAUAUGUUCCUCUCAGGGAUGUAUCUCCCUGCUUCCUUGUUAGGCCAUGGGGUGGCGCGCCAAGAAAUAUUUUUUUUCCCCUCAAUCCUGACUUUCAAAAGAUCCUCAUCUUCCACAAGCAGAGAAUUGUGUGUUGGGUGAGCUUACUUUGAUGUUUGUAUAUAUCUGCUUUGUUUAAAGCUCAUGGUAUAAAAUAAAUAGUACAUGUUAGCUUAAUCAAUUGCUAUAUUUUUUUUCACCCAGAAAAUAAUGAAGCUGCAAUUUUUCAUGAAAAGGUUAUUAAUUUUCAUUUGCAUAAUAUGACUAAUGAUGCUGUUUUGCUUCCCAAUGUUGAUUUGACGCAGUAAUUUGGGUGAAAGAAAUCUGAUGAUAGAAUUCAUAUUAUUAUCCACAUCAAAAAGAAUACAUCUCCGUAGAUCAUCACUUGUUGCCUACUGACAUAUCGCACAGUUAUGUAAAGUGAAGACAAUUUUACUGAACUUGGUCACAUUUAUACUGGCAUAGCUUUAGUUGACACUCUUGAUCUUGGGAAUUUGGUUCCCUAUCAAGACAUUAAAUACAAAUUGAGUAAUGAUGAUUCAUCGAAUACCAGAAGAGAACUUGGUCGCUGAGCCAAAGAUCAUAGCUCUCGGCUGGACAAGGCAACAAAACAGGUGCUCUCAUCUCUGUAAAUACACAUUGUCCGUUUCAGUUUACUAUUAUGGUAGUGUAGCUCAUGCUUGUUAUGGUGUUGUUGCAAAAUGUUUGUAUUCCUUGUUUACUGAUUUGGUCCAACAGUGUGGCAGUAUCAAGAUGAGCCAAAGAAAGAAUGCAGAAUAUUUUAUCUUUUUUGUUGUGCUGUAAAUUGAAUUUCUGUCCAUCUCAACUGGAAAUGUCUGACAAGUUUGUCUCUGUGUGAAGCGUGCAAGUGAGCAACCACUGAGGUUGUGUUGGAAUAAACCUGAUGUCAGUGAUU